AAAAAUUGCUGAAUUGUUCUAAAUGAUCAGAAUACCAGAAAGAACCCCACAGAAUUGUGAAUGCAGUAUUAAACUAUAACAGGUACACUCACCUUAAAAAACAUCAGGAGGUCAUUUCAGAGACUUGCAGUACUUCUGUUCAGUGUUUUUAAGACUUUGAGAUCCGUCUGCAAUCUCUGAUCCAGUUCCUUCGGCGUUCCAGUAAACUUCAGGACGUCCUGGUGAAGGAUUACUGUGCUGUGGGACAAAGAGAGAGCCGAAUCUCACGGUAAACUCCGUGAACUCAUUUGAUCGCAUCUGUGUUGUGCGUCUUCGCGCGUCGCGCCGCUUCUUUGAUUACACUCGGUUACGCACUGGACGCUCUGCUUUCCACCAUUUUAUUUACACAUGUAAAGAGGGAAAGCAACUUGAGAAGUGUCAAAAUCACCGACUGGAAUUUCGGAAUGUAAAUUAAGUUUGUACGCGGAACGAUAAAACAGCGAUUUGGAACGAGGGACGUUUGGAUGUGGACUUUCGCGUCUGUUUGUUCCAUCAACGCCCAUCUCCACGUGCCUGCUGAGGGAAAAUCACCGUGUAAAACAUGUUUAAGCCUUAUUUCGCUCAGCAUGUGUAUCAGUUGAGAGGAAAGUUGUAUUUUGCAGCUGGAAGCUGUCAGGUUUCUCCUUUUAUCACACGACCGGUCAUCCCAGUAGAGAUGCAACAUCUGUAUUUCAUUGCCGCUGGAGUAAUGAUAAACACACUCUCACAUCUGAUCCAAAACCCACAUCGCACGGAUGAAGCUCAACCAUCAUGGAAUGGAACGCACAGGAUUGUGGGAUAUCAAAGACAGCGAAGGAUACAUCAACGCUGCCUUCAAAAUUCGAUCAUAAGAAGGUACCGCCAGAGACAGGAAGUAAAGCAGAAUUUGGAUUCGAACGUGCCUUUAUGUCUUCCUGUCUUGGAAUGCUGCUUAUGAAGACCGCAUUUUAUAGUUUUAGGAUGCAGCCAAGGUCUUGCAGUCUCCACUUAUAAGCUGAUGAGUUAAAUCGGGCAAGUUCAAGCUCAAACCGGUGUGCACCGUUUUGCUACGGUUUCUGGUUUGAACGACAUGUUUCCUGGAAACGGUGUGCAACGUUUUCUCUUGUUUGGUGGGUGUGUCAAAAAUGUCAGCCCAAUCAGCAGCAACAUGUAUAUAAACCACAAGGUGUUAAAGAGACAGCUCACACAAUAUAUUGUUUGCAUGUUUAUUUAUAUUAAAGGCAAAAUAACUAAAAUAAUAAGAGCACAAGUAUAGAUCUGGAACUUCUUUAAGUCUGUCUAAAUAUCAUUUAGUAUUGCAAUGUCUUCUGGUCUUCCUUGGGAAGCUGUGAUAGACACUGAUUAAUGUAACAUAAAUACUAUACACAUUUAUAUAUUUUGCUAUUGUAUUGUGGAGUGACAAUUUCAUAAACUUUUCUAUACUCUGAUUAAAUAAUGGUAAAUAUUACAAUAAUGUAGCACAACAACAGUGAUCAGCAAUAAGGAUAAGCCUAAUACUCACAAUAAAAAUAAUAAGGUCAUAUAGAUCAUAACACAGUCUCGGAGGUAAGAAGUGGAUUAUUCUUCACCUGAAAUGUUUGCGAGGCAUAUGUUAGGUCACAAUAAUGAGGAACCACAGUUUCCACAAAUCUCUUCACUUGAUUGGGAUGUUCUCUUUGUUUUUUGUUGUGUGUGUGUGUCGUAAUUGUUUAUAACUUAAGUCACUUGAAUAAGCAUAUGCAUAAAUCAGACUUCAGAGCUUCAGUGGUCAACUUUUUAAACAAUAAGUCGGUCUGCUUAGUGCACUGAGCGAUCCUACGACUUUGAAAACUUAGAAUAUAGUGCACGAGUGCUUUUAUGGUCUUUUUGGACUUGGAAAGCUCUUUUACUGUAUGAAAUGUUGUGUUUCACAGGUUUGGAACGACAUGAGGGUGAGUAAAUGAUGACAGAUUUUUUCAUUUUUGGUUGAACUGUUCCUUUAAGCGCACAAAGCUUAUUUUCUUAUGAUCAUCAGCUCUUUGUUUUCGUAAUUCGCUCUUGCCUUUGCUCUUUGUUUCUUUCAUUAGCUCUCUCGAGUGUCUUUUCAACGGCUCAUCACGGCAGCUUGUCCUUUCUGAUUAAAAGUGAAUGAAAACAAAAGAUUUCUCGGCACGGCGACACGCAAAGGCCUGCUUUAAUUACCAGCACUUUGAACCCCGAGCGUGUAGAGCGUGGCGUUGUUCUCGUCACUACAAGGGGGCACGAUUGGAGGAGAUGUGCGCGCUUGCACGCGCAAUCAGCGGGUUCCUCGAGUUCUCUCGUGCACCUUCAUCCGUGCGUGCAAAACCGAGCCUAAAGCGCUAACAAAUCUAAUGACUAAUGAUGUGCAGGUGUUUGCCACCGAUCCGGCCGCUGGAACUGCGUUUCAUUUUGCGGUGCAGCGGCUGGCGAGCGCUUGGGGAAAGCUGGUCGUGAUUCAGUAUGUUUGCGCUGAAUGUAAUCUGUCUCGGGGGACGAGGGGCCCCGCUAAAACCUGACACGAGAGAGACAGACGUAAUCUGAGAGAGAAAAGGCCGUUCCAUACAGCACUACAAUGUGCGUGGAGAUCUCUGCCAGGUUACUGAGGAUAUCGCGCCACCUGCUGGUGGACAACGAAACUGUCAGUGAUUUCAGUAACUCGCGGAAGAAUUGACUUCUAUUUUUCUAGAAUCUCGAUUUUUUUUUAAAUGAAUCAGUCUGUAUCAUAAGGAUUUUUAAGUCAUUUAGUAUUCAUAAACCUCAUGUAAAAUUCAUCAGAAAGGAACUUUGCAUGGUAUUUACUUAGAUAUGUGACAGUUUUUGCUUUGUAGUAGUAUGUGCACUGUAAAAAAGAAAAAAAAGAUGUCCAUAAAAUUACUGGAUAAUGUCCUGGCUGAAAAUUACCAACAGAGGUGGAGUGUCCAGGUUCAGAAAGUGAAAGUCCUCCUCAGUAAUUUGUUCUAG
ensembl:lncRNA